UCUAUAUUAUUCAUCAUUCGCUUCUGUUUGAGUGUUCUACUUUUGUUAUUCAUUAACUGCAGUGUUAUAAUAUUCUAUUUAGGUGUUUGCAUGUUUUAUACCGUAAAGCUCCGAAUAUAAGCCCACCCGAAUAUAAGCCUCUCCGUGUAUAAGCCCAUGCAUGGGCUUAUUAUUGAGCAACAGCUCAGAGAGUGAUGAAAAUUAUAUUACAAUUAUAUUUAUAAUAUGUUAGUCAACUUGGUUUAUGUGUUACAUACUGUAUGUUUAUAUUUCUUAAUUUUCGUUCAUG
rnacentral:lncRNA from 1 species